GGAUUCGUAGAGCCCACGCCUAUUCAGUCACAAGGUUGGCCAAUGGCUUUGAAGGGCAGGGACAUGAUCGGUAUCGCACAAACUGGCUCUGGGAAAACACUAUCUUACCUUCUCCCUGGGUUGGUUCAUGUUGGUGCACAGCCUCGACUAGAACAAGGUGAUGGCCCAAUUGUUCUGAUCCUUGCUCCUACAAGAGAACUGGCUGUUCAAAUACAACAAGAAUCUGGCAAAUUUGGAUCAUAC
rnacentral:misc_RNA from 1 species